CCUGCAAUUUAUUAUUUCUGGUGUUGAGGCUUAGAUUCAACUACGGCAGGAGCAAAAGCCCUUAGCAGUUAGCACUUUAUAUUCUUUUGUUCUUCUGUUCUGCUAAUAAGAUACUCCCAAGUUGCCUAAGCCCAGAGAGCGUACAUACAUCACAUUUGGAGAUCGAUUUUGUCUCAGUAAGUCUUUUACAAUUCUCCCCAGCCUUCCCAGACCUUGAGCGACCAACACUGAGCUGUGAGAGCAAUGCUAAUUGCUUUCCCCCGGGGUCAAGCAUCUUCCUCGCAAACCAUGAAUCCAGUAGCCACUGAAAACCCAGAGGAAGAAUUGACAGCCAGGCUUACAAGAGGUCUAAUUGAGCUUUUUAAACAUUUAGCUCUAAUGCAAAUUUGUUUGCGAUCGAUUUUUUUCUCUCAUCUCUUAACAUGUCCUGAAGGAAAUAAUUGCUGUGACUAUGUAGACUCAGCUUAUUCAUUAUCACUGUGGACGUGAAGCUUCCUUCCCAGAAUCUCUGAGACGUUAAAACACAUCUCCCUCCCUCCCGCCCUCCUUUUAACAUAAGGGGUAAGUCACUGAGGCUUUUUCAAAGAAGCCUGAUGGCUCUGUGCAGAGGUUGGCAUGUGCUGGAGAGAAUACCGUGAAGAUCAAAAUUCCCGUCUCUAUCCGGAUGGAUUUGCGUAGGUCCCUCUCAGGGGAGGAGGCAGACAGAGCAAAUAGGUUGAACCUGCUAUAGCACUGAGAGGAACCUCUCUAGAUGUUAGGUUUAAUUCCACCAAGCAAGAAAAACUGAAGACUGGGAGAACGAUGGGACAUGCAUAGACCCUCCAGUUAUCAUGUCUUUUCCAGGCGACUCCAGAUGUUCUGGGUGGCUCGAUGAUCAUGAAAUUUUUAUUUUUUGAGAGUAGACCAGGCUGGCCUCCAACUCAAUACGCAGCUGAGGGUGACCUUGAACUCCCCUGAUUCCCCUGCCUCCGCUUCGUGAGUCGGCUUCAUGUGGAGGGCUAAGUCAGGGCUUGCUGCAUGCUAGGUAAGCCCUCUGCCGACUGAGUUCCAUCUGCAGGCCCUCAGGUAGUUUUAAAAGAUGUCUCAAGCCCUUUCUUCAAAAUAUGAAGCCAGGUGCCCUCUGCCUGGAUGGGAAGCAGGCCUAGCGAUUCACUUCCAACAGAAUGUAGUGAAAGUGAUGUCAUGUGACUUCCAUGCAUUGGUCACAGAAGGGUGGCUUUCUACCAGAUUUCUCUCUCAGGUCAUUUUCUUCUGGCUGUUACAGUGGGAAGAAGAAGCCAGCUCGGAAGACAGCUAUGGCAUCCUGCAACUUUGCACAGAAAGAGAGAUGCCAGAGAGAGUGGGGGAAACAUUAUCUCACAAGCAGGAGCCUAGUUACUUAAAACUGGAGUAGAAGAACAUCCACAUGAUCACACACCCACUGCUGGCGGCACUGACAGCCUGCUGCACAUCUGCUCCAUGACGAUCCUGCGGCUCUCCGACUCGACUCUCAAAACCGCGCCGCAAAUCCCUGGGAAAUUUCACACCGUUUUAGAAACAGUGAGCCCUGAUGGCAGCUUGUCAAGCAUUGACUGUGCGUCUUCCCAGUUAUGCCUCUGACAGGAACCCUUGAGGCAUGCGGGGGAAAAUGGCAGAGGUCCAGUUAUGAUGAUUAAGUCAAAACUCACUGCCAUUCGCCAGCAGCCAUGGAGCCAGAGUCUUUUCAUCUUUUAAGUUCCACUAAUAGGCCCUUGGGCAGGAAGAGAGAAAGCGGGAAGAAGAAAAGGGCAGAAGGGGACUGAGGCAUGAAGGCAGAAAGAGCAUUACCAUCACCACCAACCCCAUUCUUUGUCGGAUGCAAUUAAAAUCCCAGUGCCUGGUGCUUUCUGCCAGAGAGAUAAACAGUACCUGACCCCAUGUGAUCUGCUGCAUGAAUAGAGAUCAGGAUUUCAUCUUAGAAGCAACUCGAUUUUGGACGGUUGCUAAGGAGACUAUUGGCAUCUCAGUGUCCUGUGUGCCCUAUUGCUUGGAAAGAAUUACAGCAGCAUCACCGGUUACUCUCCCACAGAGAAAAACCUAAAAACUCAUUCGGGAAGCCAACAGUUUGAGAUUCCACUGUUCUCUUUUAUUGUUUCGAGUGCUGCCGGCCUUGGAGUGUAACUCGUGAGCAUAUUGACAUCUAAAUGGGCAGGAUACACAGAGCCACACUGUUGUGGGGUAUCUGUACACUGUGAAGACGUGUUGCUGUGAUGGUGUAAUAAAAAGCUGAAUGGCCAAUAGCUAGGCAGGACUUCUGGGAAGAGAGAGGAUGCAGGGAAGAAGAAAGGGGGAGUCGCCAGCCAGAUGCAGAGGAAGCAGGGCAUGCCGGAGAAGAGUUUCAGAGCUCUCAGUCCAGAGACCCGGGCUUCACACACCCUGGGCCUGUGAUGGAGCCAUACUGCCCUGUCAGCAAAAGCCUGUGGCAGAGGCUGCCAUGGUGGCUGGGAAGCAGAGAGCAGAGAAAGGAUUGGGGACAGUUUUCAGCACAUGCAGAAGGAGGCAUGCAUCGAUUAGAGAUGUCGUCAACUACAAAUAAUGCAACGGAGCAAGCAGAGGCUUCAGUAUGCACUGCUUGGGCUGCAGUAGAACAUGAUUUACGACAUUAGUUCAGUGGAAGAAGCCACCGAGGCUUCUAUUGACGCUCUCCGUGGUGUGGCUGGACAACAGGAUCGCUGUGCAGUUGACUUGGGCUUCCCGAGUGAAGAUAGAGACCUAAACAAACAGAACAGAGGGGAUUCAAGAGACAGCUCUGGGCAGCUUUAUUACUCGUCAGUUUACAUAGCCCGAUAAAUACAGAAAGAAAUCUACUGUGCGUAAAUGCUGAGAUUCUGGGGAAGGGCAAGGGCCGAGGAACAGGCCACAAAUAAAGGAUGAGUUAAAAAAAAA